rnacentral:tRNA from 1 species
GAGUGUGUAGCUCAGUGGUAGAGUGUAUGCUUAGCAUGCGUGAAAUCCUGGCUUCAAACCCAGUACCUCCA